UCAAAGCCAUUGAAAUGAACACUCUUGCAGUAGACAACCGUGUCCGACAGCUCUUUGGCCAGCUUGAGGGUGUCACUCUUCCCCUUCUGCUGUACCUCUGUCUUCACAGAUUCAUCUUCCAUUUCAGCUGCUUCAUCUUCAUCAGAGACAUCCUCAGCCUCCAGGUUGUUGUUCCCAUUUGUCCCAGUGGGGUCUUCCUGUCUGC
rnacentral:lncRNA from 1 species